UACGUAGGGGGCAAGCGUUGUCCGGAAUCACUGGGCGUAAAGGGCGCGUAGGCGGCCGAUCAAGUCGGGGGUGAAAGCCUGUGGCUCAACCACAGAAUUGCCUUCGAUACUGUUUGGCUUGAGACCGGAAGAGGUAAGUGGAACUGCGAGUGUAGAGGUGAAAUUCGUAGAUAUUCGCAAGAACACCAGUGGCGAAGGCGGCUUACUGGUCCGGUUCUGACGCUGAGGCGCGAAAGCGUGGGGAGCAAACAGG
rnacentral:rRNA from 1 species